rnacentral:rRNA from 1 species
CACGUGAGGUGCAAGCGUUGUCCGGAAUCAUUGGCGUAAGAGCUACGUAGGCGGCUUAGUAAGUCGGGUGUUGAAAACCCCAGGGCUCAACCUCGGGGGACGCCCGACCCGAUACUGACUAUAGCUAGAGUCCAGUAGGGGAGUGUGGAAUUCCCAGUGUAGCGGUGAAAUGCGCAGAUAGUUGGGAGGAACACCAGCGGCGAAGGCGGCACUCUGGGCUGGUACUGACGCUGAGGAGCGAAAGCGUGGGUAGCGAACAGG